CCACCGCGGACGGGAUUUGUCCCUCCGGGAGCAGAAGACAGGCUGUGGGCCCCUGGAUGGCCUCCCAAUAUCCUCUGACACAGUUAACCCUCUGAUGAAGUAGAUCCCUGGGUGAAGGCUCACGACCUCUCCUUCAGCUGGAAUUUCCUGAGCCUCUCACAUCACGUCAGUUCUCUGGCUUCUGCUCUGACAAAGAUAAGGAAAAUGGGUGGUACUUAACCCGUGCAGUUCGUAGACCACAUUUGAAGCCACAUCUGGAUCUGACAGAGGGGGCUGUGCAUCACCAGAGAUCCUGGACUUUGAGAUGGAUCCAGAGAUUGCUGGGACUCUGUGUCUCUCCACUUGGCGGGAGAGGGUACAUUAAGGAGAGCAAAUCCUGGUGGUUGGACCCAUGACGUCAUCAAACAGGAGUUAAAUACAGGCGGAUACACGAGAACAGAUGCUGAGCCACAAAUGAGUGCCAGCUAUUUGCCGUCUGCUUCCAGAUACUGAAACCCCCUGCAGGUGGCGGAAGUUAACGAUUAACUUAACGAAGUUAUGCUGCCCACAAGCACGUAGACCCCAGACCAGCUGGACCUGAAGGUUGAUGACUCCCGAUUACCUCAUCACCAGCCCAUCAGAAGAGUGUCCUCGAGCUGACCACGCCCUCUUUGAACAAUUACUAUAAAACUUCCCACUCUCUUCUCCAAGGAGGGGGACACACAGUUUUUCAAGGCAGGAGCCCGCUGUGUCCCCCUUUGCCUGGCAAAGUGAUAAAGCUCUCCUCUUCUAUUUCACCCAAAACUCUCUCCGAGAUUUGAUUCAGCACCGGUGCACACAGAAACUGAGCUUGCGGCAUCAAUAACGUCCUUUCAGCAAAAGAAAAGCCUGGCUCCUGUGCUGCACUUGCUGUCGUAUUUCUUGAGUCUCCUUUAACCUGGAACAGCUCUCAGUCUUUGUCUUUCACAGGCUUCACAGUUUUUAAGACUACAUUUCAGUACACUGUAGAAAGUCCCUCCAUUUGGGUUGGUCAGCUGUUUCCUAGUGACUCCGUUCAGGUCAUGCACCUUUGGCAGAGAUUUCGUAGCAGCCAUGUGUUUUUCUAGUGCAUCGUAUCAGGAGUUGAUGUAUAAUAAUUGUUAACAGGAAAACUGUAUCUUGGUAUGCCCUUCUCAGUGAAAUAAGAAACCAUGAGAAUUCUAAACUAUCAUCGGAUUCGUAAUAACUGCAGUACGAUUCUUUGUUUACGUAUCAAUUUCCAGUCGUAGGGAGAGUAGAGACUGGGUCUCAUCCACGUUUAUGACUUAGCAGCAGCGAAGGGCAUGACCUCCAGUUGGCACCCACCACGGGAGUGAGAACCACCUGUCUUCCCUUUUGGUUUCCACUGUCUCCCCCCAUCUCCGUUUCUUCCUCAGCUCAGACAGGGUCAGACGGCCCAGUCCAGGUGCAGCUCCCUCUCAGG